UACGUAGGCGGCGAGCGUUGUCCGAAUUUACUGGGCGUAAAGAGCGCGCAGGCGGUCGUACAAGUCGCGUGUGAAAGCCCCCGGCUCAACUGGGGAGGGUCACGCGAUACUGUUCGACUCGAAGGCAGGAGAGGGAAGCGGAAUUCCCGGUGUAGUGGUGAAAUGCGUAGAUAUCGGGAGGAACACCAGUGGCGAAGGCGACUUUCUGGCCUGUUCUUGACGCUGAGGCGCGAAAGCUAGGGGAGCAAACGGG
rnacentral:rRNA from 1 species